rnacentral:rRNA from 1 species
CGGCCCGAGUGGUGAUCGUGAUUAUUGGGUCUAAAGGGCCCGUAGCCGGUUUGGUCAGUCCUCCGGGAAAUCUGAUAGCUCGACUAUUAGGCUUUCGGGGGAUACUGCCAGACUUGGAACCGGGAGAGGUAAGAGGUACUACAGGGGUAGGAGUGAAAUCUUGUAAUCCCUGUGGGACCACCUGUGGCGAAGGCGUCUUACCAGAACGGGUUCGACGGUGAGGGACGAAAGCGUGGGGGCACGAACCGGAUUAGAUACCCGGGUAGUCCCAGCCGUAAACGAUGCUCGCUAGGUGUCAGGCAUGGCGCGACCGUGUCUGGUGCCGCAGGGAAGCCGUGAAGCGAGCCACCUGGGAAGUACGGCCGCAAGGCUGAAACUUAAAGGAAUUGGGCGGGGGAGCACAACAACGGGUGGAACGCCUGCGGUUUAAUUGGACUCAACGCCGGACAACUCACCGGGGCGACAGCAAUAUGUAGGCCAAGCUGAAGACUUUGCCUGAAUCGCUGAGGGGAGGUGCAUGG